ensembl:lncRNA
AUGCUUCGGCACCAAAGGGUGAUGGGAAUGCUGGGAUACGCACCUUCGUCUAAGCUCUUGUUUGUGUCUGGCUAUCAUCAGUAUCAUUACAGUGCUAAUCUGGGUGUGGUUGGCAGGAAGAGACUCAGCCCAGUGUACCCAAAACAAAGACUGGAGCAGCGAACCCAGAGCAUCAGCAACUUCAAAGCAGAAAUCUUUGCGGUUGAUGAGUUUACUUUAUUCAUGUCACUGCAAUGAUGUAUGAAGGUUUGGUUCCACAAAAACAAGGUAACUGUGACUUUAUAUCGUUUAAUCGCAUUUCAGGAUUGCGACUUAAUUUUUUUUAAAGAAAAUUAAUACUUUUAGUACUUUGAAGUUAGUAAGCGACAAAAAAUAUUUUAAAUGAAUGCUGUUAUUUUGAACAUCAAGGAAGUAUCAGUUUCCACAGAAAUAUUAAGCAGCACAUCUAUUUUCAACAUAUCAUAAUAAGAAAUGUUUUUGAGCAGCAAAUCAGGAUAUUAGAAUGAUUUCUGAAGUAUCAUGUGACUCUGAAUACUGGAGUAACGAUGCUGACAAUUCAGAUUUGCUAUCAGAGAAAUACAUUUUUCAAACAACUCACCUAUCAACUUCAUAUCCUGACAAUGUGAUAGCUAAUGAUAUACCAGCUGUGAGCACCUCUUUCCUUACCUCUUUGUGAUUGUUUUCAGUAUGAUACUACUAGAGGAUAAAAUAUAUUUCCCUCUGCUUUCAUUAAAAUAACAGUGAUAACACUGUAUCAACAUGAUAACAUUGACAUAUUGGAUGUUGUGUCACCCCAGGGAGGCAUGAAUCAGACAUCAUAACGUCCAGCUACAUGAGUCGUCUACCUUGGAAACCUGCCCUGAUGUAUCGCAAAUCAUCGGUCAUGGCGUUCACUUUCAUUUGUCUUCAUGAAAAUAGUUUAGACAUGAGUUCGCCAAACGGUUAUGAGGGCUUUAGAAUCAUCUAAAAGAUUUAGCACCACACAGAGAGAAAAUACCUUGAAAGAACAAUUUCAGUUUUUACCGAUCUACUAAAAUGACUUUUGGCAAACAGGGGUGUGCUGUUUUGCUGUGAGUUGUGAAAACAGUGUGUCACUGGUGGGGUCUGGCCAUGAUCUGACACGCUGGGGAACAACACAAGCCUCUGAACGUCAUAAUUGCAUUAGCUCUUAAUGGGUUGAAUUUUGCAAAUUACUUAUGGAACAAACGACAAAAUAAACAACGCAAGGUUCUUGGUGGUAAUAUUAGC